GUUCGUCCUGAAGAGGAAAGGAGAGGUGGAGAGAAAGGGAGGGCACAGGCAGCAAGUUUAGCUGGAGCUACCAGAAGUGCUACCUACACAAAAAACUGCUUUCACUUGCCACCAAUCCCCAGGCAAUACACAGGAUACAAAAUGUACGCUGAAGAAUUUGUGAAGUAAUAGGAUGUCCAGUAUUUGCUUCUAAAUGAUCUAUUGGGCAGAGAGAGAGGCAGGCAGCACGUGAGUGAAGUGAGAGGGAGUGGAAGAGAACAAUGAUGGGAAUGGAAGAAUG
rnacentral:lncRNA from 13 species